GGGUCCCUCUGGCUCGUUGCUGCUACUACAUCUCUAUCACUGAGUUGUCGCCCAAAAAUUGCCUGUGGUCUCGCCUCUCCGGUAUUCGUUGAAUGACGUCUCUGCUUGCUUCUUCGGCGUCAUCGACGGAUUACUUACUGAGUUCAGUUGUUCACCACUGAGCUUCAAUAGUUUUCUGGUAACAGAACACAAAUUCAGAUUGAUGUGGGUUGUAGAUUGAAGAGGAACAACGUCUGCUCAUUCAGGUUUUCAGGCGUUGCAGAAAUUCCACAAUGCAUCUAAUUCUAUUUCCCCUAUAAUUUGAAUUAAGCAAGUGCAGUUUUGUGAAACUGAUUUCAAUUCUAUUUCCUUGUUGUUGCUGCAACUUUUUUUGGUUUUACUUUUUUGAAUUAUUAUACGCUUAAUAGGCUAAGUAGACGUGCUUCUCCUUUGUUGCUGCUCCACUCCCAUGGCUUUUUGUGGGGCUCGGAAACCCUGGUGACAAGUACAGAGGAACUAGACACAAUGAGGGAUUUGAGAUGAUUGAUACAUUUGUUGCGUCAGUAGGAAUUCCUAUGGAUA